GACGGAGGGUGCAAGCGUUGUUCGGAGUUACUGGGCGUAAAGGGCGCGUAGGUGGUUGUGUAAGUGAGACGUGAAAGCCCCGGGCUUAACCUGGGAAUGUCGUCUUAAACUGCAUGACUGGAGUACUGUAGAGGGUAGUGGAAUUUCCGGUGUAGCGGUGAAAUGCGUAGAGAUCGGAAGGAACACCAGUGGCGAAGGCGGCUACCUGGACAGAUACUGACACUGAGACGCGAAAGCGUGGGGAGCAAACAGG
rnacentral:rRNA from 1 species